rnacentral:rRNA from 1 species
CUCCUAGUACGAGAGGACCGGAGUGGACGACCCUCUGGUGUUCCGGUUGUCACGCCAGUGGCAUUGCCGGGUAGCUAUGGUCGGACGGGAUAACCGCUGAAAGCAUCUAAGCGGGAAGCCCCCUUCAAGAUGAGACAUCCCUGAGGCCUAGAGCCUCCUGAAGGGCCCAGCGAGACCAGCUGGUGGAUAGGCACGGUGUGGAAGCGCUGCAAGGCGUUGAGCUAACGUGUACUAAUGGCCCGUGAGGCUUGACCCU